AUUGAACGCUGGCGGCAGGCCUAACACAUGCCAGUCGAGCGGAUGAAGGGAGCUUGCUCCUGGAUUCAGCGGCGGACGGGUGAGUAAUGCCUAGGAAUCUGCCUGGUAGUGGGGGAUAACGUCCGGAAACGGGCGCUAAUACCGCAUACGUCCUGAGGGAGAAAGUGGGGGAUCUUCGGACCUCACGCUAUCAGAUGAGCCUAGGUCGGAUUAGCUAGUUGGUGGGGUAAAGGCCUACCAAGGCGACGAUCCGUAACUGGUCUGAGAGGAUGAUCAGUCACACUGGAACUGAGACACGGUCCAGACUCCUACGGGAGGCAGCAGUGGGGAAUAUUGGACAAUGGGCGAAAGCCUGAUCCAGCCAUGCCGCGUGUGUGAAGAAGGUCUUCGGAUUGUAAAGCACUUUAAGUUGGGAGGAAGGGCAGCAAGUUAAUACCUUGCUGUUUUGACGUUACCAACAGAAUAAGCACCGGCUAACCUCGUG
rnacentral:rRNA from 1 species